rnacentral:rRNA from 1 species
AACGAACGCUGGCGGCAUGCCUAACACAUGCAAGUCGAACGAGACCUUCGGGUCUAGUGGCGCACGGGUGCGUAACGCGUGGGAACCUGCCCUUAGGUUCGGAAUAACUCCCCGAAAGGGGUGCUAAUACCGGAUAAAGUCUGCGGACCAAAGAUUUAUCGGCUUUGGGUGGGGCCGCGUUGGAUUGGCUAGUUGGUAGGGUAAAAGCCUACCAAGGCGUCGAGCCAUAGCUGGUCGGAGAGGCUGAUCAGCCACACUGGGACUGAGACACGGCCCAGACGCCUACGGGAGGCAGCAGUGGGUAAUAUUGGAGAAGGGGCGAAAGCCUGAUACAGCAAGGCCGCGUGAGUGAUGAAGGCCUUAGAGUUGUAAAGCUCUUUUACCCGGGAUGAUAAUGACAGUACCGGGAGAAUAAGCACCGGCUAACUCCGUG